GAUGAACGCUAGCUACAGGCUUAACACAUGCAAGUCGAGGGGAAACGGCAUUGAGUGCUUGCACUCUUUGGACGUCGACCGGCGCACGGGUGAGUAACGCGUAUCCAACCUUCCCAUUACUGUGGGAUAACCUGCCGAAAGGCAGACUAAUACCGCAUAGUCUUCGAUGACGGCAUCAGAUUUGAAGUAAAGAUUUAUCGGUAAUGGAUGGGGAUGCGUCUGAUUAGCUUGUUGGCGGGGUAACGGCCCACCAAGGCUACGAUCAGUAGGGGUUCUGAGAGGAAGGUCCCCCACAUUGGAACUGAGACACGGUCCAAACUCCUACGGGAGGCAGCAGUGAGGAAUAUUGGUCAAUGGACGGAAGUCUGAACCAGCCAAGUAGCGUGCAGGAUGACGGCCCUAUGGGUUGUAAACUGCUUUUGUAUGGGGAUAAAGUUAGGGACAUGUCCCUAUUUGCAGGUACCAUACGAAUAAGGACCGGCUAAUUCCGUG
rnacentral:rRNA from 1 species